rnacentral:rRNA from 1 species
AGAGCGAACGCUGGCGGCAGGCUUAACACAUGCAAGUCGAGCGCCCCGCAAGGGGAGCGGCAGACGGGUGAGUAACACGUGGGAACGUGCCUUUUGGUUCGGAACAACACAGGGAAACUUGUGCUAAUACCGGAUAAGCCCUUACGGGGAAAGAUUUAUCGCCAAAAGAUCGGCCCGCGUCUGAUUAGCUAGUUGGUGGGUAAUGGCCCACAAGGCGACGAUCAGUAGCUGGUCUGAGAGGAUGAUCAGCCACAUUGGGACUGAGACACGGCCCAAAACU